rnacentral:rRNA from 1 species
UACGUAGGGGGCUAGCGUUGUCCGGAAUCAUUGGGCGUAAAGAGCGUGUAGGCGGCCCGGUAAGUCCGCUGUGAAAGUCGGGGGGCUCAACCCUCGAAUGCCGGUGGAUACUGUCGGGCUAGAGUGCGGAAGAGGCGAGUGGAAUUCCUGGGUGUAGCGGUGAAAUGCGCAGAUAUCAGGAGGAACACCGAUUGCGAAGGCAGCUCGCUGGGACGUCACUGACGCUGAGACGCGAAAAGCGUGGGGAGCAAACAGG